rnacentral:rRNA from 1 species
GAUGAACGCUGGCGGCGUGCCUAAUACAUGCAAGUCGAGCGAACGGACGAGACGCUUUCUUCUCUGAUGUUAGCGGCGGACGGGUGAUUACCACGUGGAUAACCUACCUAUAAGACUGGGAUAACUUCGGGAAACCUGAUCUCAUAUCGGAUAAUAUUUUGAACCGCAUGGUUCAACAGUGAAAGACGGUCUUGCUGUCACUUAUAGAUGGUUCCGCGCUGCAUUAGCUAGUUGGUAAGGUAACGGCUUACCAAGGCAACGAUGCAUAGCCGACCUGAGAGGGUGAUCGGCCACACUGGAACUGAGACACGGUCCAGACUCCUACGGGAGGCAGCAGUAGGGAAUCUUCCGCAAUGGGCGAAAGCCUGACGGAGCAACGCCGCGUGAGUGAUGAAGGUCUUCGGAUCGUAAAACUCUGUUAUUAGGGAAGAACAUAUGUGUAAGUAACUGUGCACAUCUUGACGGUACCUAAUCAGAAAGCCACGGCUAACUACGUG